rnacentral:rRNA from 1 species
AGCAGCCGCGGUAAUUCCAGCUCCAAUAGCGUAUAUUAAAGUUGUUGCAGUUAAAAAGCUCGUAGUUGAAUUUCGGAAUCUGUCCGUUGGUCGGGCUUAACUGUCCGUACUGAUGUGAUGGGUUCUUACCUUCUGAAUAACCAGCAUGCCAUUAAUUUAGUGCGUUGGGGAAGCAGGACUAUUACCUUGAAAAAUUAGAGUGCUCAAAGCAGGCUAGUGCCUGAAUACAUUAGCAUGGAAUAAUAAAAUAGGACGGCAUGGUUCUAUUUUGUUGGUUUCUAGGAUCACCGUAAUGGUUAAUAGGGAUAGUUGGGGGCAUUAGUAUUCAAUUGUCAGAGGUGAAAUUCUUGGAUUUAUUGAAGACUAACUUCUGCGAAAGCAUUUGCCAAGGAUGUUUUCAUUAAUCAAGAACGAAAGUUAGGGGAUCGAAGACGAUCAGAUACCGUCGUAGUCUUAACCAUAAACUAUGCCGACUAGGGAUCGGACGAUGUUAAUUUUAUAAUGACUCGUUCGGCG